GAAGACACAUCUGGACUCUCAUUAUGAUGUAACAGAACAUUCUUCCAAGAGUACCCAGUGUAUGGUGGUCAGCACACUCAAGUCUCCCUCAGCCAUCAGAUCUCAUUAUUUCUCUGCUUCGUCACUCCUUCCUAAAAUACAACUUUGGCUUCCUAGGUAGUCAGUACUUUCCUGGUUAUAAACAGAGGAUGAAAACACACCAGGUUUCCAGUGUAUCCAUCAUCAGCAGAUGACAGGCAGGCUUGCUGUACAGGGACUGACAGGAUGUCACCAGAAAACAGCAGCGCUUUAAGCACAGAGAACAGCUUGACCAAAGACAUGGAGACUGGAGAAGGUUUCUGGACCUGUGGGAUAGCAGCUCUCCAGUGUGGCUUCAAGAUCCAGACUCACAGAAGAUGGCUGAGAGGUGGCAAAGGAGGACUCAGCAACAUCUCAGCCACAGCAGAUGGGUCUAGCCACAGCUCUGCCACUGAGGUGCCUGCUGUCACUGCAUGAUGCUAGCCUGCCGGGGCUCUGAAUGACACCAGCGCCUGGGAAGACAGCGGCUAAGGCACACAGAAAGAACAAAGCACUUCCGCAGGAGCCUGACUUUCAACCAGGAGUCUGAGAUGCUGAGGAUUGUCCACAUUGCUGCGUGAAUAAAACACGUCCCCUCAGAACGCAGGGUAUUUAAACUCAUGAAGAUUUAUGGCGACACUGCUCUUGAGAAGUCAAAUGGAUGUGCAUCUUUGGCGUUGAAAGGUGAAUGUGUCCACUGCUAGCAAAAUGAUACAUAUUGGGUGUCUUGUGAAAGAUCAUUAAAAUAUAAUUAAAUGAG